rnacentral:sRNA from 1 species
GUUUGUCAGCAAUAUUUUGUUGGUUGUAGCUUCUUUUGGGAGAAAAUGGGUAUAAGUGUUGUUUAAACACUCCUAAUCCAUCUCUAACUCUUAUAAUUAGUCAAAUGCAUUAGCUUGUGACAUAUUUUGACAAUAGAAACACUAACAAAGCUAUUUACUGUUUCUAAGCAAGUUUUCGUUGGUUUUAGCCUCUUUAGGGAGAAAAUAAGUAUAAGUGUUGUCUACACACUCCUAAUCCAUCUCUAACUCUUAUAACUAGUUAAAUGCUUUGGAUUGUGACACAUUUUGACCAUAGAAACACUCAUAAAGCUAUUUACUGCUUCUAAGCAAUUUUUUGUAGGUAUUAGCCUA